UUUCCGUAGGUGAACCUGCGGAAGGAUCAUUAUUGUAUAACCGAGGUGCGAGGGCUGUCGCUGACCCGAAAGGUCGUGCACGCCCGAGAGCCCUCACGCACAUCCAUCUCACCCCUAUGUGCACCACCGCGUGGGUCCCCCUUUGGCUUGUUCGGAGGGGGGCUUACGUUUUCACACAAACUUUGUAUGCAGUGUAGAAUGUAUUUUUUGUUUUUGCGAUCACGCAAUCAAUACAACUUUCAACAACGGAUCUCUUGGCUCUC
rnacentral:misc_RNA from 1 species